rnacentral:tRNA from 6 species
UCUCGAUUGGUCUAGUGGUCAGGAUACCUGCUUGUCAUUGAACAAGUACGCAGGUGGCCGGGGUUCGAUUCCCCGAUCGAGAG